CGUUUCCAGGUGAGCUCAGCGGGGGACACAUUCUAGAAAGGCCCUGCGGAACCCUGGGGAAGACGACCAGACCCUCGUAUUUCCACCCCGUGAACACGUCACAAUUUUUGAAGGGAUUUUCACAACCCUGGAGGGUAGAGAAGCCUGUCUCUUGCUGCUAUGACGUAUGUUCGAUCUUCUAAGCAGAGGGAGAAAUCUUGGUCUCUGCUCUGAGUGACUCAUCUUAACUUGAUGAUACCAUAAUUAAUAUAAAGCAACUGUGUAAACUGCUUCAAUUUGGUGACUAUAAAAGGCUUGGAGAAGGACUCCGCUGGUUGCUAGUGAACCCUCAGCUCUGAAGGUUUGAAGGAGUCGGGCAGAAAGAGAAACGGAGGAAGGGCACGCCACCACGAGACAGCACUGUGCACAAAAGCUGCCCGCUGGAUUCAGAGAACUGAAAACAGUUGAGGCCAGCAGGGGCACUUGGUGUGAGAGCCUGUGUCCACAGAGGAGAUGGUGGGUUUGGACUCUGACCCGCCUCGUGAGUCACUGUAGGAAACUUGGACUUCAUCCUGCAAUGCCCAAUGAGUUGACAGAACUAGCCCCGGGUUGUCAGCCCACAAGAAAAGGAUGCAGGAAUCGAAUGUUGUUGUACAACCAGAAUAAUAUUUAUAUCAGUGUGGGGCUUAGGCUUUACCGGCCAGAUGCAGUGCCCUUCUUUUUUUUUUUCUUUCUUUCUUUCUUUCUUCUUUCUAAUUAGAAAAAUGUAAGCAGUGUGUUUAACCUCAGCAAGCCUCAAGUUCCUCAUCAAUAAGACAGCGAUUGUGCUGGAUGCUAUGAGGAUUAAAUGAAACUGUGUAAGUAAAGCCCUUAGCCUUUCUUCAGGAGAGUCUA